AAUACAAGAGAGCUGCGAUUCACUGACCUCCUUGUCGUUGGAUGUCUUUCCCAAUCUCAAGAAUUUGAAGAUAGAAGGGUGUAGGAAUCUGGAAUCAGUGUCAAUGUCAGAGGCACCACACACUGCUCUUCAACGUCUCAAAAUAAUUGAGUGCUCCAAAUUAGUGUCAUUUGCAGGAGAAGGACUGGCUGCACCCAACUUGACUCAUCUCGAGAUAUCAGGGUGUAGGAAUCUGGAAUCAGUGUCAAUGUCAGAGGCAUUACCAUUCAUGGAGGGUGCUGGAAGUUGGAGGCAUUACCACGUGACAUGAAGAGUCUACUCCCAAGUUUGCAGUCUCUCCAGAUAUAUGGUUGCCCAAACAUUUGCAGGUUGGCAGAGGGUGGUUUGCCGCCUAACUUGAAAUCACUUGAAGUGGGAUUAAGGGAUCUUUCAUGGAUGUCCAACUUGGACGCCCUCACUCAUCUUACCAUUCAUGCUUAUGACUGCAACAACAUAAAGUCAUACCCAGAGGUGGGUUCGCUGCCUCACCUUCCCUCCCUUACCACUCUCAACAUAAGUUUCUUCCAUAAUCUGGAGACAUUGGAGUGCAACGAGCUUCUCCGCCUCACCUCCCUUCAACAACUAAACAUUUAUUGGUGUCGAAAGCUGGAGAAUAUGGAAGGAGAAAAGCUGCCUCCCUCUCUCUUGCUACUUCAAAUUGAUCAUUGUGGUUUGCUGGGAAAACACUGCAAGAACAAGCAUCAAACUAAUCUGGCCCAAAAUUUCCCAUAUCCCUGACAUUAACGUCUUCUAAACAGGGAUUUCUAACAGUUUUCCCAAGGUGAACUCGAUAUAGCUAAUGUCAUUAGAAGGUCAAGUUGCGAUGAAGCCAUCAGACAACAAUUUCAUCUCUAUCAACUUCACAUAUUGUGUGUCAGGAGAAAGCCUCUGAGCUCUGCAUGAGAUACAUUGAGGAAUAAGCAGCAAUACAGAAACAUGGGAAUACCCUUGCUGUCACUUGAGCAGAGAAGGUCAAAUAUUCUGAAACCGAAACAGUGUCAAUUGCAGAUAUGAAGAGGCUUGAUUGAGUUGGAGAAUAUGGCAGGAGAAAAGCUUCCUUUCUCUCUGUUACUGUUUCAAAUUCAACACUGUCCUUUGCCCGGCAAACGCUACAAGAAGAGUCACAGCUAAACUCUUCAUGAGGGGCAUCAAGGGAUAGAUAACUGCUAUGCUGGAGGAUUUGCUUUCUUUCUGGUUUCAACCAUUAAAAUGCGCACUAGGCAGCUUCUGUGGCAAUUGCAACUUGGUGAGCAUGAAAUUCCUACUGAGGCUGAACACAGAUGGUUGAGAUUUCAUGGAAUCAUGGUAUUUGUGAAUAUAUGGAGAUGUAAUCUUAUACAGUGGCAAUCAUAUCAAAACUGUUUUCUUUCAAUUCAAGGUUCACUUGAGGUGGUAAAAUGGAGUCCAUUGAUAUGUUGGGAACCAGAAGUGUUUUCUGAUUUUAGCUUCAGUAUAUAGGAAAACUCUCUACAAAAAGGGAAGAGUAGACCAGCAAGCAAAUCAGAGAAAGAGAAUCAAAUUCUUCAUCAUUUAGUCUUGUCUCGAUACAACUGCAAAGUUUUUCUCUUUUUCACUUGUGUCACUUUGUUUAUCAUUCUCUUUCUGCAAUUCUUUUAAACAGAGAGUGAGUUAUCCUAGGCUAGAUAAAGAGACUUGUUCUGUUGUCCUUAGGUUGUGCUGUUUAAGAAGUUUGUGUUUCUGUGAGAAAUUGUUUGUAAUAAACAUUGAUAUAGUGAAAAAUCUCUCUUUGGUUGUGGAUUGGAUGUAGACUCAUGUUGGAGUUG